rnacentral:rRNA from 1 species
AAUAGAUACCCGGGUAGUCCACGCCGUAAACGAUGAGUGCUAAGUGUUAGGGGGGUUUCCGCCCCCUUAGUGCUGCAGCUAACGCAUUAAGCACUCCGCCUGGGGAGUACGGUCGCAAGACUGAAACUCAAAGGAAUUGACGGGGGCCCGCACAAGCGGUGGAGCAUGUGGUUUAAUUCGAAGCAACGCGAAGAACCUUACCAGGUCUUGACAUCCCGCUGACCGCUAUGGAGACAUAGUUUUCCCUUCGGGGACAGCGGUGACAGGUGGUGCAUGGUUGUCGUCAGCUCGUGUCGUGAGAUGUUGGGUUAAGUCCCGCAACGAGCGCAACCCUUGUUCUUAGUUGCCAUCAUUUAGUUGGGCACUCUAAGGAGACUGCCGGUGACAAACCGGAGGAAGGUGGGGAUGACGUCAAAUCAUCAUGCCCCUUAUGACCUGGGCUACACACGUGCUACAAUGGACGGUACAAACGGUCGCGAAGUCGCGAGACGGAGCCAAUCCGAUAAAACCGUUCUCAGUUCGGAUUGUAGGCUGCAACUCGCCUAC